rnacentral:rRNA from 1 species
AUGGGCUCCGUCGCCGGGGACGCCGUGCGCCUCGCCUACCCGCCCGUCCGCCGCGACGAGUCCGUCGUCGACACCUACCACGGCGCCCAGAUCCCCGACCCCUACCGCUGGCUGGAGGACCCGGACUCGGAGGAGACCAAGGAGUUCGUGGCGGCCCAGGCGGAGCUGGCCGAGUCGGUGCUCGCCGGCUGCGCCGACAGGGAGGGCCUGCGCCGCGAGGUCACGCGCCUCUUCGACCACCCGCGCCACGCCGCGCCCUUCCGCCGCGGCGACAAGUACUUCCACUUCCACAACUCCGGCCUCCAGGCCCAGAGCGUCCUCUACGUGCAGGAUGAUUUGGAAGCAGAGGCGGAGGUCCUCUUGGAUCCAAACACUCUAAGCAAGGAUGGAACUGUUGCUCUUUCAACGUAUUCUAUUAGCGAGGAUGGCAAGUACAUCGCUUACGGGCUAAGUGAGAGUGGCAGUGACUGGAUCACUAUUCGCGUUAUGGGCAUUGCAGACAGGCAGGAUAUGCCUGACAAAUUGUCUUGGGUGAAGUUCUCAUCUAUAAGUUGGACACAUGACGGAAAAGGGUUUUUCUAUGGCCGAUAUCCUGCGCCUGGAGUGGAAUUGGAUGCUGGAACCGAGACAAAUAUCAAUCUUAAUCAUCAGAUAUAUUACCAUAUCUUGGGGUCUGAUCAGUCAGAGGAUAUACUAUGCUGGAAAGAUCCUGAAAACCCCAAACAUUCCCUUGGUGCAUCGGUCACUGAAGAUGGAAAGUACAUCAUACUGGGUACCUAUGAUGGUUGUGAUCCUGUCAACAAGCUAUACUAUUGUGAAAUUUCUUCACUUCCUCAUGGAUUAGAGGGUUUCAGAGAGACAAAGGAAAUGCUUCCAUUUGUCAAGCUUAUAGACAACUUUGAUGCUCAAUAUCAAGUUGUGGCAAACGAUGGUGAUGAAUUUACAUUCCUGACCAAUAAAAAUGCUCCAAAGAAUAAGCUGGUAAGGGUAAAUAUAAAAAAGCCAGAGGCGUGGACUGAUGUUCUUCCUGAGCAUGAAAGAGAUGUGCUUGAGUCAGCUGACGCGGUUAAUGGAAACCAGUUGGUGGUGUGUUACAUGUCAGAUGUUAAACAUACUCUGCAGAUAAGAGACCUUAUAACUGGAAAUUUGCUUCAUCAGUUGCCUCUAGAGAUUGGUUCUGUUUCAGAGAUCUCUUGUAGACGGGAAGACAAGGAAGUUUUUAUUGGCUUCACGAGCUUUCUUUCUCCGGGUAUUAUUUAUAGGUGUAACUUAGCAUCUACAAUCCCUGAAAUGAAGACCUUCCGAGAAAUUUCAGUUCCUGGGUUUGAUCGCACAAGCUUUGAAGUUAAGCAGAUUUUUGUCCCUAGUAAGGAUGGAACCAAGAUUCCCAUGUUCAUAAUGUCGAAGAAAGAUAUCGAACUCGAUGGAUCACAUCCAACUUUGCUAUAUGGUUAUGGUGGAUUCAACAUAAGCAUUACCCCUUCUUUCAGUGUUAGUCGUCUUGUCCUAUGCAAGAACAUGGGUUCUGUUGUCUGCAUUGCGAACAUCCGGGGUGGUGGAGAAUAUGGGGAGGAGUGGCACAAAGCUGGAGCACUUGCAAAGAAACAGAAUUGUUUUGAUGACUUCAUUGCUUGUGCGGAACAACUUAUUUCUUCUGGUUACACAAGUAACAAGAAAAUAUGUAUUGAAGGUGGAAGCAAUGGUGGUCUUCUAAUUGCUGCUUGUAUUAACCAGCGGCCUGACCUUUUUGGGUGUGCCCUGGCUCAUGUUGGUGUCAUGGAUAUGCUUCGGUUUCACAAGUUCACAAUCGGUCAUGCCUGGACUACAGAUUAUGGUUGUUCAGAUAAGGAAGAAGAAUUCGGCUGGCUUAUCAAAUAUUCUCCCCUUCAUAACGUGAAGAGACCUUGGGAGCAAAGCUUUGGUGAUAAUUGUCAGUAUCCAGCAACCAUGCUGUUGACAGCUGAUCAUGAUGAUCGCGUUGUGCCAUUGCACUCGCUGAAGUUGUUGGCUACAAUGCAGCAUGUCUUGUGCACUAGCAUUGAGAACAGCCCGCAGACCAACCCAAUAGUUGGUCGCAUUGACCGCAAGUCAGGGCAUGGAGCUGGCAGGCCGACUAAAAAAUUGAUUGAUGAGGCCGCGGACCGUUACAGUUUUAUGUCGAAGAUGUUGGGCGCUACAUGGACUGAGUAG